rnacentral:rRNA from 1 species
GGGACCGCACAAGCGUGGAUGAUGUGGAUUAAUUCGAUGCAACGCGAAGAACCUUACACCCUUGACAUGUCCGGAACUUGCCAGAGAUGGCUUGGUGCCCGAAAGGGAAUCGGAACACAGGUGCUGCAUGGCUGUCGUCAGCUCGUGUCGUGAGAUGUUGGGUUAAGUCCCGCAACGAGCGCAACCCUUAUCAUUAGUUGCUACGCAAGGGCACUCUAAUGAGACUGCCGGUGACAAACCGGAGGAAGGUGGGGAUGACGUCAAGUCCUCAUGGCCCUUAUGGGUAGGGCUUCACACGUCAUACAAUGGUCGGUACAGAGGGUUGCCAAGCCGCGAGGCGGAGCCAAUCCCACAAAGCCGAUCGUAGUCCGGAUUGAAGGCUGCAACUCGCCUUCAUGAAGCCGGAGUUGCUAGUAACCGCAGGUCAGCCAUACUCGCGUCGAUACGUUCCGGCCUU